rnacentral:rRNA from 1 species
AUUGAACGCUGGCGGCAGGCCUAACACAUGCAAGUCGAGCGGAUGAAGGGAGCUUUCUCCUGGAUUCAGCGGCGGACGGGUGAGUAAUGCCUAGGAAUCUGCCUGGUAGUGGGGGAUAACGUCCGGCAACGGGCGCUAAUACCGCAUACGUCCUUAGGUAGAAAGUGGGGGAUCUUCGGACCUCACGCUAUCAGAUGAGCCUAGGUCGGAUUAGCUAGUUGGUGGGGUAAAGGCCUACCAAGGCGACGAUCCGUAACUGGUCUGAGAGGAUGAUCAGUCACACGGGAACUGAGACACGGUCCAGAAUACUACGGGAGGAAGCAGUGGGGAAUAUUGGACAAUGGGCGAAAGCCUGAUCCAGCCAUGCCGCGUGUGUGAAGAAGGUCUUCGGAUUGUAAAGCACUUUAAGUUGGGAGGAAGGGAAGUAAGUUAAUACCUUGCUGUUUUGACGUUACCAACAGAAUAAGCACCGGCUAACUUCGUG